rnacentral:misc_RNA from 1 species
GAAAUGCGAUAAGUAAUGUGAAUUGCAGAAUUCCGUGAAUCAUCGAAUCUUUGAACGCACAUUGCGCCCCCUGGUAUUCCGGGGGGCAUGCCUGUCCGAGCGUCAUUACGCACCCUCAAGCCCGGCUUGUGUGAUGGGCCCCGGCGUCUCGUUCGCGAGACGGGCCCGAAAGGCAGCGGCGGCGUCGACCCGAUGAGCCCGAGCGUAUGGGGACUUCUGUCACACGUUCGCGGUGCGGACCGGCGCCUGCUUGACUUUUCUGAUUAUCCAGGUUGACCUCGGAUCAGGUAGGGAUACCCGCUGAACUUAAGC